UGGGGAAUAUUGCACAAUGGGCGCAAGCCUGAUGCAGCCAUGCCGCGUGUAUGAAGAAGGCCUUCGGGUUGUAAAGUACUUUCAGCGAGGAGGAAGGCGUUGUGGUUAAUAACCGCAACGAUUGACGUUACUCGCAGAAGAAGCACCGGCUAACUCCGUGCCAGCAGCCGCGGUAAUACGGAGGGUGCAAGCGUUAAUCGGAAUUACUGGGCGUAAAGCGCACGCAGGCGGUCUGUCAAGUCGGAUGUGAAAUCCCCGGGCUCAACCUGGGAACUGCAUCCGAAACUGGCAGGCUAGAGUCUUGUAGAGGGGGGUAGAAUUCCAGGUGUAGCGGUGAAAUGCGUAGAGAUCUGGAGGAAUACCUGUGGCGAAGGCGGCCCCCUGGACAAAGACUGACGCUCAGGUGCGAAAGCGUGGGGAGCAAACA
rnacentral:rRNA from 1 species